CGAGAGGUGCUUGCACCUUUCAAGCGAGUGGCGAACGGGUGAGUAACACGUGGAUAACCUGCCUCAAGGCUGGGGAUAACAUUUGGAAACAGAUGCUAAUACCGAAUAAAACUUAGUAUCGCAUGAUAUCAAGUUAAAAGGCGCUACGGCGUCACCUAGAGAUGGAUCCGCGGUGCAUUAGUUAGUUGGUGGGGUAAAGGCUUACCAAGACGAUGAUGCAUAGCCGAGUUGAGAGACUGAUCGGCCACAUUGGGACUGAGACACGGCCCAAACUCCUACGGGAGGCUGCAGUAGGGAAUCUUCCACAAUGGGCGCAAGCCUGAUGGAGCAACGCCGCGUGUGUGAUGAAGGCUUUCGGGUCGUAAAGCACUGUUGUAUGGGAAGAAAUGCUAAAAUAGGGAAUGAUUUUAGUUUGACGGUACCAUACCAGAAAGGGACGGCUAAAUACGUGCCAGCAGCCGCGGUAAUACGUAUGUCCCGAGCGUUAUCCGGAUUUAUUGGGCGUAAAGCGAGCGCAGACGGUUGAUUAAGUCUGAUGUGAAAGCCCGGAGCUCAACUCCGGAAUGGCAUUGGAAACUGGUUAACUUGAGUGUUGUAGAGGUAAGUGGAACUCCAUGU
rnacentral:rRNA from 1 species